rnacentral:rRNA from 1 species
AUCGAAAGCUUGCUUUUGAUGGGCGUCGACCGGCGCACGGGUGAGUAACGCGUAUCCAACCUGCCCACCACUUGGGGAUAACCUUGCGAAAGUAAGACUAAUACCCAAUGACGUCUCUAGAAGACAUCUGAAGGAGAUUAAAGAUUUAUCGGUGAUGGAUGGGGAUGCGUCCGAUUAGCUAGUUGGUGAGGUAACGGCCCACCAAGGCGACGAUCGGUAGCCGGUCUGAGAGGAUGAACGGCCACAUUGGGACUGAGAUACGGCCCAGACUCC